UAGGGAAUAUUGCACAAUGGAGGAAACUCUGAUGCAGCGACGCCGCGUGAGUGACGAAGGCCUUCGGGUUGUAAAGCUCUGUUCUCAUGGAAAAAGAAAGUGAUUGUACAUGAGAAGAAAGGACCGGCUAACUUCGUGCCAGCAGCCGCGGUAAGACGAGGGGUCCAAGCGUUGUUCGGAAUCAUUGGGCGUAAAGCGGGUGUAGGUGGCUCUAUAAGUCAGGAGUGAAAGCCCUGAGCUUAACUUGGGAAGUGCUUUUGAUACUGUAGAGCUUGAAUGUGGGAGAGGAUGAUAGAAUUCCAGGUGUAGUGGUGAAAUACGUAGAUAUCUGGAGGAAUACCGGUGGCGAAGGCGGUCAUCUGGCCCAACAUUGACACUGAGACCCGAAAGCGUGGGGAUC
rnacentral:rRNA from 1 species